AAAUUGAAGAGUUUGAUCAUGGCUCAGAUUGAACGCUGGCGGCAGGCCUAACACAUGCAAGUCGAGCGGAAACGACACUAACAAUCCUUCGGGUGCGUUAAUGGGCGUCGAGCGGCGGACGGGUGAGUAAUGCCUAGGAAAUUGCCUUGAUGUGGGGGAUAACCAUUGGAAACGAUGGCUAAUACCGCAUGAUGCCUACGGGCCAAAGAGGGGGACCUUCGGGCCUCUCGCGUCAAGAUAUGCCUAGGUGGGAUUAGCUAGUUGGUGAGGUAAUGGCUCACCAAGGCGACGAUCCCUAGCUGGUCUGAGAGGAUGAUCAGCCACACUGGAACUGAGACACGGUCCAGACUCCUACGGGAGGCAGCAGUGGGGAAUAUUGCACAAUGGGCGAAAGCCUGAUGCAGCCAUGCCGCGUGUAUGAAGAAGGCCUUCGGGUUGUAAAGUACUUUCAGUUGUGAGGAAGGGUGUGUAGUUAAUAGCUGCGCAUCUUGACGUUAGCAACAGAAGAAGCACCGGCUAACUCCGUGCCAGCAGCCGCGGUAAUACGGAGGGUGCGAGCGUUAAUCGGAAUUACUGGGCGUAAAGCGCAUGCAGGUGGUUCAUUAAGUCAGAUGUGAAAGCCCGGGGCUCAACCUCGGAACUGCAUUUGAAACUGGUGAACUAGAGU
rnacentral:rRNA from 1 species